UGUUUGUUCAGGGCCAGUUUUCCACACACACACAUACACAAAACCGGCAGUGGAAAAACAUCCACAAAGCAGAUUAAAGGAAACAUAGGAAACGGCCAGAGAUUUAGGAGGAAAACCAAGAGUGUGGCAUAAAGGGUGCCAGCAGAAAAGAGCGUUUACAGAAGGAGUUCACAGAAGGAGAACAACAGUUGCCAAACGUUGCAAAAGUUUCAAUAGAGGAUAAGGUAGACAUUUGGUUAUACGAGAUUAAGGAGUGGAUGGGAGGUAGGAUGAAAAGUAAAAACAAGUACAGUUACUGCUUAAAAACAUUUGCAACCUUGAUUAAAAUGAUGUUUCCUGCUCUUUUUUGAAGCAUAAAGGACAGAUUUUUUUUUAAGAAGAAAGAAAUGUGAACACUUUAGUUCUAAAGUGAGGAGAAUCUAGAAGAGAGAAAUAUGGUGAAACUAAAAGAGAGACAAAUGAUAAUUAUUAAAAUAUAGCAUGGUACCUGGGAUGGAAGCAGGGCAGUUGGAAGAAUUAACUUGAAUUUUGCUCUUUGAGGAAGAAAAUUCCAGAAUAAUGUGCAGAAUGGAAGAAAGCAUGAACGUGGAUGCAGUAUGAUUUGAGGCUAGCUAAAGGAGGCAGUUCUGGUCUAAUGGCUUCAAUUUUCUCCUUGAAGGCGGAGAGUUCUGAUAGUGAGGAAGCACCACUAAAAUCCAAGGUUUAGGGAGUAGAAUGAGUACAGAGAAUCUGAGGGAGAGAACUGAUUGGGAAUUAUAGAAGAAUUGCCAAGGAGCAUCGAAACCCCAAUAUUUUUCUUGAGUUCGAAAGAUAACUGUACAAUUUUAGGAGUAGUGAUAUAUAUGUAAAUGACAGAAAGUAUAUAAAAGUUGUACAAGUAUUGCCUAAGUUUAGGCUCAAUUCCAUCCAACAGAAGGUUAGGACUCACAUAAAGGCAAACGGUAUUCAUGAGUAGAAGUAUAAUAACGCAAGCAGAGAAGAUGUGCCUCAUAUCUGCCAUAGGACUAGGAAUAGCAGUGGUAAACAUCUAUUGAGCACUAACUGAUGCUUUUUGUUUUCAUUAUUUUGCAUGAAUUAUAGUACACAGAUGGCAGGGACUGCUAUUAUUUUCAAUGCUCUGAUGAGGAAACAAAGGCACAGAGAAAUUAAGUCAUUUAACCAAGGUUAAGCAGCUACAAAGUGGCAGAGUUUUUGAACAGGAAAUCUGAGUCAUGUCCAAAGGAAAGUGAGCAGCACAGCAAAGGGUCCAGAAUCUCUGAAAUAUGCGGAAGAGUUUGAUCAUUGAAGGUAUUCUGCCUAAAUAAGACAGGCAGCAGCAAACAACUGUUACUUCAAUACUUUAAUAGUUGCGCUAUGGAAAAGGAAUUAGACUUUAAUGUUAUGUAGCUUCAGGGAGCAGAACUACACUAAUACGCAGAAGCUGCGAGGAGGCGAUUUCAGCUGGAAAGAGUGAAGAUUUCUGUAGCCAUGAGAAAGGCAGGUGAAGCAGAAGCAGCUGCUUCAGGAGUGAAGUUCCAGUGGCUGAGGAGUUUGAGCCCAGGACAGGGUCUUUGGGAAGGAGCUCAGGCCCAGGGGCAGAGAGGACAGGCUGGUCUAGAUAAAGGCUGACACCCUUUCUAACGCUGAAAGUCGGCCACCAGCGGGCAUUUUAUCAAUGCACAAUAAACAUUUACUUUUUUAUUUUCUCCCGGAGUAGGACGAUUUGGCAGAUGCGUAAAGCAUUUGGAUCACCGUUACCCACAAUAUUUGGAUAUAAUAGAUAAGAAAUAAUGCUGUGCCAAGUCUGCUAGAUCUGGGCUUUCCACUGCUUCAGGAGCUCUAAUAAUUCAGAUGAGAGAGAGAGAAAAAGAGGCGGGAGAAGGGAGCAAAGGAGGGCGGGGGGAGGAAAGGAAGGAGGAAGGGAGGGAGAGAAGGAAAGAGCAAGAAAGGAAAAAAAAUCCUUUUAGCUUGCAAUUUAGCCACUUCCCAAGAGCAAACAAAUAUUGUGCAGACAAAUGUAAAAGUUUCCUGCCAAAAUUAUCUUUUUAGAAGCUUUUAAAAGAUAAUCCAUAUUUCUCCCAUACUUCUUACGCUCACCCGUUUACUCAAAAACCUCAGCAAGAGAUUUUGAAGCUUUUUUCUGAGCAGAGGUCAGUGUUUCUGGUGCAGUGCCAGUUUUAAUGAGAAGAUUUUCUUUACUCUCUCUUAAGGGAAGGCAUGAGGCAACUGCAUGCUAAGGAGUAAGAUAGUCUCUGCCUGGAUCUGAUGCCAAGAGAGGGCCCAGGCUAUAUUUUGACAUUUUUAGCCUUGAUUUGGCUGCCAACUUUAUUGAAAAGAUUAAUAUUCUCCAUAGGUUUUAGAUAGCAAAUUUUGAGUUUUGAUCUUGCCCUGCCUCAAAGAAACUUUCCUCGUAAAGGAGAUUUUGUUUGUUUACCUGUUUGUUUAGAUGUUAGGGUGCCAGAAUUAGAUAUAGCCAUCAUGCCAACCCAUCAUUAUCCACGGGCAUCAUAUACAGCCACUAGUAUGCACAGUAAAUCUUGUAAAGAUGACCACUAUAUUUUGAAGCAAAUGACAAAUCGUCAACUUCUCAUUUCAGGAGGUCCUUUCCUUCAUUUGUGUCCUUCUCCAGCAGCUGUAAUCUUUGCAAUUCCUCUCACAUCUGGCCCUGUACUAUUGACCUAUACACUUGCAUAUUUUAGUCUUUAUGAACCACUGCAUACCUAUUUCUUUAUAAAUUCUAUUUUAUUAAUUGAAUAUAGACUUCUACCCAUUUAUCAAUAACAUAACAUACGGCAGUCCUAGUCACCAAAUAAUGUUAAAAAAUAUCUCCACAAUUUUGCUACCUGAAAGUCAAAUUACUGUUUUAUUCUUUCCUUCAAAUCAUUACAAAGCUAUUGUAUGGCAGAGACAGUAUGCAAUCAGACCUUGGUUAUUAACAGUUUUGGGAGGAAAAUUGCCGACGGCAACAUCACAGCUGAAAUAUUUACAUUCGAGUCCCUAUCCUUCUUUUUCUGCCAAUUGUUGGAAGCAAAUCCAAUCAGGAAUUUUGGCAGUGAGUAACUGUAAUAUAAAACAAAGAUGGAGAUGUGUAUACUCAUCAUGCAGAUGGGUUUCUCUUUCAAUUUACAUUAAUUCAUCUGAUGAAUAGGGAGAGAGGCAUUACUGUUUGGGUUUUGGUUUUGAUUUUUUUUACACCUUUCACCUUACUCUGGGUAACUUGUCAGAAGACCUAAGCUUGAGUUCAGUCUCUGUUACUUGUCAGCAUGUGACUAACAAAUCAUUUUCUCUCUCUCUCGACCUCCAUUUAUUCCUUUGUAAAAUCAGGGGCUGGAUUAGAGGCUGCGGCCUCCGUAAUCCCUUAGGGACAAUCUUCAAAAUCUUGUAGCUCUCCAAGCUGUGAGAGUGAGGCGAGGUUAUGGGAUUGAGCCUUGCAACGAUCAGUGACCAACUCACCGUCUCAGAAUUAUGUGGUUAGUCAUAACGGGGCCCUCAUAAGACAAUGUGAAUGCAUACAAAAUUUUUUCUAAAUUUAGAAUUCAAGCAUGUCUUAUUUAUGAUGUGAACUGUAAUGUAGUUAUAUGAUGCUGGCUUUAUUUAGGAUGAUACAAGAAAUAACCACAUGAAGAAUUUUCCUUUUCUGGAAAACAGUUACUGCAGAUAUCUGUUAUACUUUUCAAUGUUGCUUUGUGCAGCAGUAAUUUUCUCUUAGUUGGAAUCAGGAUGGUAUGGAUGAUGAAAUGUAAAACAGUAGAAAAUAUCAGACAGAAUUGGAUAGAAAUUCCACCUCUGCUGCCUGAAAAGUAAGUGAACUGGAGAAAGUAGUUAAACUCUGCUGGCCUCAAAUCCUUUUUCUGCCAAAUGGGGAAUAUAAUACCUAAAAUGAGGAUUAAAUGAGAUGAUCUAUAAUGGACCAGGCAUAAUGUUUGACAUACAAAAUAAAGCUCUUAAUAUCCAUUACUUUUCUUCUCAUCUUUCCGUCUUUUGGGGGAGUGUUAACUCAUUCAGGUAACUUGAGUACCCAUUAGCAUUUUUUUUUUCUAGAAAUGGAUUAGGGUUUUGAAAUAAUACAGAUUAAUAAUCACAAAUAACAAAACAUGGCUGUGUUUAAGGCCAUAGGAAUUAUAGGCACCCCACAGCCUGGGUUCGAAUGAAGCUUCUGUCUCUCAUUGGCUUUGCGGUCGCUUGCUUCUCCCCAGUCUCAUUUGUUUGCUCUUCCUCAUCUUCUCACUCACCAUUGGGUUGCCGCAGGGCUCAGUUCUUGGAUCUAAACUUUUGUCUAUCUACUCUCACUAAUUUCUUGAUAAUAACCAAUAUUAUGGCUUUAAAUUAAAGUCCCAAAUUUAUAUCUGCAGCGCAUUCUCCAGAUUUAUAUGUCCAACUACCCACUGAAGAUCUCUACUUGAGUCUUUAACGGGAAUUUAAAUUCAUCCUGGCCAAAACAAAAUUCCUGAUGUUCCCUGACAAACAGGCUCCUCCUGCAGUCUUCCUUAUUUCAGUUAUUGGCAACUGCUGGCCCUCCAGUUGCUUGGGUCAAAAACUUUGGAGUCAGCCUUACCUCUCUCUUUUAUACUCCUUACCCCAUAAACCAACAAGCCUGACAGCUCUACUCUCAAAUUAUUUCCAGCAUCCAACACUUCUCACUCUCUCAUCUGCCUGCUCCCACCCUGGAUUAUUACACACACACACACACACACACCCCUGCCCCCGAUUGUUAACACAGCCUUCAGUUCGGUCUUUCUGCCUCCUCACCUCAUCUCCAGCAGCCUGUUCUUAACUGCCAGAGUGAUCUUUUCAAAACUGAAGUUAAAUCAGGGGAUUGAUCUAUUCAACACCUCCAGUGUCUUCCCAUUUCAUUCAGAGUUGUUAACGCAGACUUUAUCACUGAAGAGAUUAACGGAAAAAUUGCUGAGAGCCUGCCAACAGGAUGAAUGUUCCCAGAGAGAUGGCAAGAGCAGCCAGGUCAUGGAUUUCUUGGGAGAAGCUCUUUGAACAAGAGAGAAAGAAUAUUCUGUGAUUACAAUUAGAUACCUCUUUUUGUAGGAAGCAAUUAUCAGUAUAAGUUAAGUACCAAAUUGCAAAUUCAAUUAUUCUUAAGUAUUUACUAGAGAAACAUUAGUUUAACCGUAAUUCUUCUGGAAAUUAACACCAUAAGAAAUGUGAUUAAAACAUGAAUUGAGUUAUCAUGGUUAAAAAUACAAUGCAAUAAUGUUGUUAUAACAUGUAUCUAAUCCAUAUUAAUUUUGUACAAUUGCUGAAAACCAUUUAUUGAAAUCAUCUUAUUAAUAUUUAAGUUGGAGUACAUUAGGUUACUCCUUUUAAGAUGUAUGUAUUACCAAAGAAAGAGGAAACCACCUUUUUGAAAUAGGAACUAAAUAAAGAUAUUCAGUUAAUAAGAUCUUUCAAAUGCUCCAAAUUCUACCUUGCAGUGAAUUUCCUUAUUGUGGAAUCAAAGCAUUUUGAAAUAUGGAAAUGAACACUUAAAGUAAUUUUGCAUUCUCUCUUUUGCUUUUCUUGUUAAACUCUAAUUAGGUAUAAAACUUGUAAUGAAAAUGCUCUUUGUCACUGACCUCCACAAGAGUGGCAAUGGGACUGUUUCACAGUUGCAUAUAUUCUGCUGAUACAUCAGGCAGCAGAGGGAAAAUUUUAAGAACACAGGACUCUGGAGUCAGACUACUUGGAUUUCAGUCCACUCUGUCACUUACCACCUGAGUGUCCUGAAGCAAAUUAGUCAGGCUGUCUGUGCAUCAGCUCCUAUCUGUAAGACGGGGGUAAUAAUAGAACCACAUCCCUCCUAGGGUUGUUGCAAGAAGGAAAUAAUACUUAUAAAAAUACAUACACAGUUGUAAAAGUGCUGGACACUUAGUACGGACUCAGUCAAUGUUACUUAUUCUUAACGUGGUGUUCAUCUUUAGGAUCCAGAUGGUGACAAACAGAGACCUACACUGUUCAGAUCUACGUGAGUUUAGAACAUGCAAGUGUAUAGCCUUGGCCUCGGUAAAACUGUGUGGUCCUGAACUCAGUUAGUCAACAGAGACGAUAGAGAAAGAGGCUGAAAAGAAGCCAGCAAGCAGUUUUGAGCUCCUGCUAGCCAGCUAUGUUUGACCUGCUGCAAGAUAUUGUAGGUGUGUGUCCCUCAUUCUGGCCAUUCACCUUGGUCAUUCAUUUCAUCAUCAAAAAAUUAAUGAGCUUCCACGAUAUUACAGGCUUUGUGUGAUGGAGAUACAGAGAUGAAUAUGAAAAGUUCUGCCCUCAUGGAGUUCCCAGACUUGCAAGCACACGCUGGCAGUCCCAAACCAUCCUUGCUUCUGACUCUGUUUUGAAUUUAACAAGAAAGCCACUUUUCUAUUUAAAGUAGUAAAAUUUGGGGAAAAUGUUGAAAAGAUUUUCACAAGAUGUAGAAGUUGAGAUGCUAUCAAUGCUUUUUGGGGAUACGGAUGUGUCAAAAUUUCUUAAAACUCUUCUUACCACACAUUGCCACUCACAAUUUUAUUAAGACAGAAAAACUCUGAAGACUGCAAUGGAGAGAACACAUACCCUCUCUCUUUCUUACAAGGUAUUUGUUUAUAGAUAGGAGAGGAGACAUAAAUCAUCUCUUUAUUUCAACACGCCCACAAAGACUCUCCAUCACUUCCGCCCCUCCUCUCCCUACCUCACCCUUAACCGCUAUCUCAACGCCAGGUGCAAUAUUAUCAGCUCAGUCAUACUAUUCCCAGUUAGGUUCAUGAAAUUUCACAACAGUCAUUUAACAUUAGCAAUUUAAAUCCAAAAAACUCUUGAGAUUGAUCAGCCUUCUCUCCCAUAGCCUAUAUUCUGAAGAUCUCAGAAUUUUAGGCUUGAGAGGAAAUUUAGUAUCUAAUACAAUUAUUUUCUUUUACCGGAUAUUUGAAUAACUUUUCUAAGAUGGUUAGUUGCAAAGCCAGAACUGGAACCUAAAUCCCAUUCCUAUUUCAACUUCUUUCCACAUCAGCUUGUAUGCUAAUUGGAUGUAAUGGGCAUUUACUAUCGCUGAGGAUAGAUUCUAAACUUGGGAUUUAAUUUGUGGCUAAUGAGGCAUUAAAUGUCCCCAGCUGAUAACAAAUAGCAUGCAAAAUAUUUGAAAACUGAAUUUGUCAUCAUUUGCCAUCACUCUAAUCAGAUUUUGUACCACCUUUGUUUAUAUAUUUCCUCAUGUUUAUCUCUGUUAAAGACUUUUGCUCAUUGAAUCAUCAUAUAGACAAAUUACAUGCAUUAAUGAAACUAUAAUCUUGACUUUGGGGGUAAAUAUAGUUACAAAUCAUUGGAAAAAGAAUAAAAGAUUCAUUGAGUGUUGCUAAAUCAUGCCGGUCCACGUUACGCUCCCCCCAAAACAAAAACGCAAUCACAUUACAACAUUGUAAAAGAUCACAAAAUAAAAUGAUGAUACCUUAAUAACCCAGGCUUGACUGGAUUUGAAAUUUUUCUUUUAAUUUGGGAUGCAAAACUUCUAGACACUUUAUUGAGAAUCUCUUCAUUGAUGGAAAAUGAUAGAUGUAAGCUUCCAAUUUCUCAAUAAUUCAAUUCCUACAACUGGAUACAGCAAAUGCAGCUACAUCAUCAAAGGCUAUACUACAGAAUCUCGAAGGCAGUGCAGGCUACAUAUAGACCUUAUUAUAUUCAUCAUUUCAAAGUAAACAUCAAAAGACAUCUGAAUAAAAUAAACAGGGGCAUUUUCCUGCUUAUUUCAAGCACUUUCGAAGUACAUUUCCUGGCUUACAGUGUCAAAUUAGAAGUUCAAUGCCAAUUUGAUUCUUGCCUUUGUAAAUAUUUUUGCAUUCUAUCAGGAAGUUUAUAGAGUUUUCUCUACUUUUGAAAUUCAAAAAUCUCACAAUAAUGUCUAGGUAUGAGUCUUGUUUCGUUAUUACUCACUCGGCUCUUGGUCAGUUUUUAGUCUAAAGCCUCAAGCCUUUAGCUCAGGGGAAUAUUUUUUCCUGUGAUGAUUGUUUCUCCUCAAUCAAAUCAUUUUAUUUUUAUAAGAUUUUACGUAUUGGAUCGUUGUGUCUAAAUUUCAUGUUUCUAAAAUUUACUAAGAUUUUCCAGCUCCUUGUUCUUGAGUCUAAGGAAUGGGAUAAUUCCUCGAGUUUGCUUCUGCUUUUUGUUUGCAGCUGUUCCGCUUUUUACUUUUCUUAUUAAGGUUUUUUUGUUUGUUUCAUUGUUUUAUUUUUCCUUUAAAGCAAUAGCUACCCUCCAGACUAUAAUAAUUAAGGGCAUGGGUUUUGGACUUAGGUCUUUUUGAGUCUUGGCUUAGCGACUUAAUACCUAUUUAAACUUGGGCAAGGAAUGUUAAUUAUGCCUCAGUUUUCUCCCCCCACAGAAAUCAGAAUAACACAUCCUUCAUAGGGUUGUUGUGAGGAUUGAACAAGUUAAUGCACCUAAAGAUCAGAGAACAGUGCAUGGUGUGCAGCAAUCUUUCAGCAAAACGACCCUAUUCUUCCUUUACAUAGCAGUGUGCUAUUUUACAGAGUGAAAAGAAGAAGAAAAAGGCAACUUUCCAAAUAUCAAUGAGGACACCAAUUAGAAUUGUAAAUAGUUCUCUUCUGGUUACCUGCAGUAUUUAGUGUCAUUUGUUUCAUUGGGAACAUUUGCUCUGAUUCCCAGCUUUCCACUUUUUCUCCCCAGUGACUGAUGAUACUUCAUUGUCUUUUCGUAUUUAUGUGUGCAGGUUUAGAUGGCCCAUGCUGGUGGCUGUCAUGGGCUCCCUAAGCUUCACCAAUGCUUGAUGUCAUGAAAUUGCAGCGUUCAGGGAACAGAGAGAAGCAGCAGAGCUAAUUUCCUUACAGGUAUGUAUACUGGGAGUGAACCUGAUAAAUUUGUUCCAGAGAGAAAAAGCAAGAGUGAAGCAGGUAAGGAAAGCUCCAACUGCAUGUAGGAUGCUGAUGACGCCAAAUGGAGGACGCAUCAGAAUAAAGUUUGUCAAUGUCUUUCUGCAGAGUUCUGAUACAUUCUAGAAGUCUUAUUGUGUGGCUCUCAUUGACACUCCCACUCUUCCAAAUGUGGGUUAAAUAAUGCUAUAAUUUCCCAAGGCUGGGGUUCCAUCAGUUUUCUGUUGGAGAAACUUGCCUACUUUUCUCUCAGAGUUUCUCUCCUUUGCUUAUAUUAGGCUCUUAAAAAAGGUCUUGUCGGCUCCUCAGUAAACCCAAUACAUUUGCUUCAUUUUUUAAAAAUUCCUGAAAGUGUCUGCUUUAUUGAUGUUACUCUUUCCUGUUUUCCAACAUUGUUACAGAUUUUCUUUUGCUCAUUUGGUGUUUUGUUAGUCAGUUCCAUGGGAUUAGAGUAUGAAGGAAAAGAAAGGAAUACAGGAUGGUUUAAUUUCCACCCUGAAGCAGGAAAUUCUAUUUUAGGUCUUGAAAGUAACUGAGAUGUUCAUUUUUUCUGUGGCGGUUGAGUUAGCUGAAGAACAGAAUCUACAGGGUAAUGUCAUGUUAAGUUGCUUAUUUAGCUAAAAUGAUGCAAAGCAAAUAGCUGUCAACAUGAUUAAAAUUAUUGGCAAUCUGGAUUUAAUUAAUUUGAGAGCUGUGUUAUUUUCUUACUUCCUCCAGCCUCUUGACCACUUAAUUAGAAAGAUUUACUUUUAGUUCAUCUCUAAAAUUUCUAUGCUCAUGGUAGAGAGUAGUGAUGCGGAUAACUCAACAGAGAAAACCAGCUUGAAUGAUUUUUCUUGGCAUAUAUGCCCAUUAUGUGACUGUUUGGGUUACAGUUUGCCUUCCUAAUUCGAUUAUCUUUAGGCUAACGUGAAAAUAACUUUUAAAUCCCUGUGCCUAUGACCCAGAAUAUCCGGGAGAGACUAUCUAGAGAAAGGAAAAGCCAAGCCAGCCAGGUAUUCGACUCUAGAAGCACAGAGGUCACAAACUGACUGUAUAUAAAACCAAAGGAACCAAAGACGGCUGUAAGACUUCAGAGUUAUUGUUCAGCGAAAACCAGUCAUGUCUAUAUCACUGGUAGAAAGUAUUUGGUACAAUGGAAAGAUUUAUUUACUGUUAACAUAAGUAAUGGCAAUUUAUACAAGUUGGAUUUAGCACCUUUAAAACACAUACACACAUAGCUGCAGUUUAAUUUAUCUUAUUCCUUCCAGCUUGUGAAAUGGACUAAAGAGAAACAGUGACAGAGACAGAGAUUAGACUGACUUGUUCAGAUGUGGGCAGGUUGUCAAAAUUGCAGCUUUAUGCAAUGAAGAAGUUCUACAGGCUCCCCCUUAGUGUCUGUGAGGUCAAAUGCUGUGUACCCCAAUCUACUUCCUAAAAUUAAUAACCAGGUAUUCUGCUAGUUUUGUACCUUAAUCAUUAAUUAUGACUGUGGCAGCAGGAGAGAAAAAAAAUACUGGGACACAUGAGCUGUAGUGAUAAAGGGAAAGCAUCAAUCAUGCAUGACAAGAGAGCCAAAGAUACCCUUUCUGCCUGGGAUGCUUUCAUUUGUGACUCUGCAGAGUUUCCUUCCCAUCAGACUCCAAACUUCAGAGACACUAGUUCUCAUAGUGUUUUUUUCUUUUUGGUCACAACCAGCUAUGGUCAAGGGACUCAGAUGGAUGAAAACAAAAUAAAAUUCAUUUGGUAACCCUGCCCAUAUUGUCAGGUAGUACCACCAGGCUCUAGAUGAAAUUAAAGGCAAUUUCCACAAAGGAAAUUGUCAGUCAAGAGUUAUGAUUCUUUCAAUAAAAGAUAAAGUAAGUUACAGCAAGAAUGGAUUUUGGAGUCAACAGUUAAGAGUCAUGUUGGCAGCACAGCUUAGCCCACACUCUUUCAUUUUGCUACAAUGUCAUAAUAAGUAUACUGUAUGCAUCAUCUUAAGAAAGUGGGCAGAGCAGGUGAAUCUCUCCAAAGUCCCAUGAGAAGGUAUAGUGUAUCACAAGCUUGAGACACAGAAACACAGUCCCCAUUCUGGUGACAGCAAGUGGUACAAAGGGGGCAUUUAGAAGCAGGAAGAACAAGACACUAUUUUGGUGGAGUGGAAGGAAACCAUUAGAUUUCACUUUGCUGUGGGAUCUUGGAUAGAUUAUUUUGCGUCUCUAGUGUUCAGUGCUCUUGUCUACAAAUGACUAGUUUUAGCCAUAUCAAGAGUCCUCAACCUUGGGUCCACAUAUGAACUUCACGAGGAUCUGCAAAGACACUCAAAUUACACGGGAAACUGUGUUCACAAGAAUCUUUAAGAGUUACUGAAAAGACAUGCACCAAAGGAAUACUUCUCUAUGUGUACUGAAGAACUAAUUCCGUUUGAUUUUCAAUCUGUUAUGAACCAACACUUUUAAAAAAUAUACACAAAGUAUGAAUUAUUAAACAACGAAAUAAAAAAGAAUGUAUACAAAUAAAAUCUCAAAUUUUUCUAUUAGAUUUAACAGGUAUAAGAUUGCUCUGUCAAGUUGCUAUAAAAAUUUCUAAAUGCAUCCUAUCAACUGGGGUUAUUGUUAUGGAUUGACCAGGACCAGUCUAUAAACCACACUUUCUUUAGGUAGCAACUGUGCUAAGGUUUCUUCCAGCCCUAGUCUUGAAAGUUUCUAUAUCAGAUCUUAAUAUCCUUGCAUACAUUCUGCCUCAACUCCUACUCGAAUCAUACAAUCCAACCUGUCAUCACAUUCAGCAUAAGAUAAGGCUCUGUCUUCCUUAGAAAACAAUGUAAGAUUAUAAAUAAUAAUGACAACAACAACAAAAUAUCUUUCCCCCAGCCACUUGUGAUGACUUGUUCCCUGAACGAUAAGGGUGAAGAGGAGGGAAAGCCUGCAGAACUAAUUCCCACAGAGCCCAACCAUCUGCGACCUGACCUACUAGUUCCCUCAUCUAUGCUUCUCUGUUCACAUGAUUAUCCAGACUUGGAGUGUCUUUACCAACCUUUCCACUAUUUCAUAUUUACAGCUUCAUUUAAGAUGCCUCACUGCAUUUAUAAGGCACUCAAACCAUAUCUAUUGAGUACUUACCAUCUCCAGGAAGGGGAGAAAAGGAAAAAAAAUAUGGUCCCCUGUUCUCAAGUUGUUUAGAGCAUAUUGGUUCUUAUAAGUGUGUUGUGUUAAGAAUCACAACUGGGCUAUGCAGAGAGGGCAAUGAGAAAGAGAUAUCAAAGUUAGACGAAAGGGUCACACAAGGCUUCUCAGAAUAAGUUUUUUGGUGCUGUGUCUUGAGUCAUGACUACCUGGUAAUCUGCCUGUAACAUUAGAGAAGUUUAGUCAUCUCAUUGGACUAUUGUUUGCGGUCCAAUACUUCCCUUACUGCUUCAUGCCUGGUUAAAAAGGAUGUUGUUCCCAGACAGUAGACCCUGCUUUGAUUAAGGGUAUUCUAAUUGAUCAAGAAAAAAGUUUGUGUAUGUGUAGGUGCUAAUAUUGCGUGUUUGGUGGGAGAUAAGCAAGGACCAGGAAGAGCAGUGCAUGUAAAGUGAAUGGCAAAAAGUAUUAUAAAAAUAUGACUCUAUCAAAGAAUGUGGUAGGGAGGGUGAGGUACGUGGUGAGAGAUGAGGCUGGAGAAAGUAAAUAAGGCCCAGGUCAUGAAGCUUCUUGGAUAGCUUCCUAAGGAUUCUGGAUUCAUCUGCAGGUCAUUUUUGACCCUUUGAAAGAUUUUAAGUAAGGAAGUGAAAGGAUCAAUAUUUUGUUUUAAAAAGAUCACUCUGGUAUCUUUGUGAAGGAUAUCUAGGAAAUGAGCAGGACGGAGGUAGGAGUGCCAAGAAAUUCAUCAAAUAAUUCAGCAAUGAGAAAUUAUGAGGUCCUAGACUGAGUCAGUAGCAGUUAAGAAUGCAAAGAAUGGGUCAUAUUUGAAAGACACCAAGAAGGCAGAAUUACUGGCUACAGGGGGGAUGAACGAGUGGAAGGAAUCAUGAAUGAUUUUCAGGAUACUGGCUUAGGCAAUCACGAGGUUGGUAAUUUCAUUAUCUGAAAGAGAAAACGCUGAUGCAAGUGCAAGAUGAGAAUGGAAAGAAAGAGUUCAGGUUUGAAUAUCUUCAACAAUUCAAGGUGUCUGCAGAAAGUUUAAAUGGAGGUGUCUGUAGGGAGUUGGAAAUAGGAGUCUAUAGUUUGGAGAUGGGUCUGGGCUGGAAAGAGAAAAUUUGGUCAGCAGUAAUUGUAGGCAUGAAAUGGGUGUGAUCAUUUCAACACGCCGUGCCUGAGGAACUUUAUUACACUCCAAUAGAAUUGAUUUUAUUCAAUAAAUAUUGAUAUUUUUAUUGCCUUUAUUUUCCCCCGAAGUAUUAAAGAGUUACAUGAAAAUACUUUUUCACUUAAAAUUAAGUGGGACAAUAAGCUAACGGGUAAAGGAGGUAGAACAACAAAGUUAAAGCUGGAUUGGGAUCCACACACACUGUGCAAGCCACUCAAUACUCUGCUGCCUAGGGAUGGGGCACACUUUUGGCUCAGGAUUUUCAAGCAGUAAUGCAAAGGAGGAAAUUACAAGUUAUAUAUUUAUUACCCAUAAAACAAAAAUAAACCAACUUCUCAAAAGCAUGAUUAUUUAUGAUACUGGGAGCCGAAAAAAAUUUCUCCUGAGGGUCCUCAUAAGAAAAACAUUGUAAUAUAGUGAGCAGUGUUCUUAAUAAUAUCCCUGAAGUAAGUAAAAAAUGAGACCUACAACUAUUACUAUAUUCAUCAAUGUAGGGUGAUGAUAUAAUAACAAAGAGGAAAAGGGUAAAGGCAAUUCAGAGGAGGAAGGAAGGCAAAUGGUGUAACUCAGCUGUGGAGCCCAGGUGGAUUGGUAUGUAUGAAUGGACAGCUACGUUUCCUUCAAGUAUUCAUUUAUAACAUCGCUGAAUAUAUUUUAUCUCCCAAGCUAGACUGGUAGGUCCUCAUCCGCCGUCUCAUUAUUUAAGGUCCACAACCUGCUGCAAGAUACGUUCAUUUCUCCCUUCAAUAUUCAAUGAACUUCUGAACUAAAAUUAAAAUCUAUGAGAGAAGUGACACUAUUUUGAUAACUCCCCUAAAUCCAGUGGCUUGAAUGAUAUCUGGCAAAUAGUAAUUGUUUAAUAAAUAUUUUGAAUAAAUUAAUUUAACAAUUUAUUGAAUAAUUAAGCCAGAUGACAUGAUAAAGGCUAGUGAUGUAAAAAUUAAUGAAGUAUUGUUUCUGCCCUCCAAGAACUAACCGUCUAAACAUGAGAUAGUAGAGUUGAUAAUUCUUUCAAUAAAUCUUAAAUGAGUGCCUACUCCGGGACAGGCACUCUUCUAGGCAUUGGUGAUACCGAAAGGAACAAAAUAGACAAAAUGCACUCAUGGAGCCUAUGUUUCACAGUGGGAGAUUCAAAAAUUAUAUAUAUAUCCACACAGAUCUUCCUCAACUUACAGUGGGCAGCAUCCUGAUAAACCCAUCAGAAGGUCAAAAUAUCAUAAGUCAAAAAUGCAUUUAGGCCUGGUGCCACAGUGGGUAAAUUCACAUGUUGUGCUUCAGUGGCCCAGGGUUUGCUGGUUUGGAUCCUGGUUUGUGGACCUCCACACUGCUUGGCAAGC